AUACCUUUCUCGGCCUUUUGGCUAAGAUCAAGUGUAGUAUCUGUUCUUAUCAGUUUAAUAUCUGAUACGUGGGCCAUCGGCCCACAUGAUAUUAAAUUUAUUUUUCUAGGGAAGGGCCAACUGCAAUAGCUUGCUAUUGGGGCCUUUAAGCGUCGCCCUUGCGUUGCACUACUGCUUGGGCCUGGCGCAUCCCUC
rnacentral:snRNA from 2 species